rnacentral:rRNA from 1 species
AACGAACGCUGGCGGCAUGCCUAACACAUGCAAGUCGAACGAGACCUUCGGGUCUAGUGGCGCACGUGUGCGUAACGCGUGGGAACCUACCCUUAGGUUCGGAAUAACUCCCCGAAAGGUGUGCUAAUACCGGAUAAUGUCUUCGGACCAAAGAUUUAUCGCCUUUGGAUGGGGCCGCGUUGGAUUAGUUAGUUGGUAGGGUAAACGCCUACCAAGGCGACGAUCCAUGGCUGGUCUGAGAGGAUGAUCAGCCACAAUGGGACUGAGACACGGCCCAGACUGCUACGGGAGGCAGCAGUGGGGAAUAUUGGACAAGGGGCGAAAGCCUGAUACAGCAAUGCCGCGUGAGUGAUGAAGGCCUUAGGGUUGUAAAGCUGUUUUACCCGGGAUGAUAAUGACGGUACCGGGAGAAUAAGCUCCGGCUAACUCCGUG